rnacentral:rRNA from 1 species
CCGGUUGAUCCUGCCAGCGGCCACCGCUAUUGGAGUUCGAUUAAGACAUGCGAGUUGAGAGGGUUCAGACCCUCAGCGUAAUGCUCAGUAACACGCGGACAAUCUGCCCUAUGGUGGGGGAUAAUCUCGAGAAAUUGAGGCUAAUACCCCAUAGUCCUGGUAUGCUGGAAUGCUUCCAGGUCAAAAGGUUACGCCAUAGGAUGAGUCUGCGGCCUAUCAGGUAGUAGUGGGUGUAAUGUACCUACUAGCCUUUGACGGGUACGGGCUUUGGGAGAAGUAGCCCGGAGAUGGAUUCUGAGACACGAAUCCAGGCCCUACGGGGCGCAGCAGUUACGAAAACUUGGCAAUGUGGGAAACCACGACCAGGGAACUCCAAGUGCAUGCACAUUGUGUAUGCUGUUCCAUUGCCUUAAAAGCAUAGGAAGUAAGGGCUGGGUAAGACGGGUGCCAGCCGCCGCGGUAAUACCCGCAGCCCGAGUGGUGGUCACUAUUAUUGAGCCUAAAGCGUCCGUAGCCUGGUGGAUAAAUCCUUGGGAAAAUCGAGCGGCUUAACCGUUCGAAGUCCGGGGAGACUGUCCGUCUUGAAACCGGGAGAGGUCAGAGGUACUUUGGGGGUAGGGGUAAUAUCCUGUAAUCCUCAAAGGACCACCAGUGGCGAUGCGUCUGACUUGAACGGAUUUGACGGUGAGGGACGAAGCCCAGGGGCGCAAACGGGAUUAGAUACCCCGGUAGUCCUGGGUGUAAACGCUGCUGGCUUGGUGUCGGAGAUCCUACGUGGGUGUUCGGUGCCGGAGAGAAGUUGUUAAGCCAGCCGCUUGGGGAGUACGGUCGCAAGACUGAAACUUAAAGGAAUUGGCGGGAGAGCACAGCAACGGGAGGAGCGUGCGGUUCAAUUGGAUUCAACGCCGGAAAACUCACCGGGGGCGACUGGUACAUGUGGGCCAAGCCGAUGACUUUGCCUGAAUUCCAGAGAGGUGGUGCAUGGCCGUCGUCAGUUCGUACCGUAAGGCGUUUUGUUAAGUCAAAUAACGAACGAGACCCUCAUCCCUAGUUGCUACUCGUAUCUCCGGAUACGAAGCAGGCUUAGGCCUUUACUCUAGGGAGACCGCUGCUGCUAAAGCAGAGGAAGGGGAGGUCAACGGUAGGUCAGUAUGCCCCGAAUCUCCCGGGCAACACGCGCGCUACAAAGGAUGGGACAAUGGGUUCCGACACCGGGAGGUGAAGGCAAUCCCGAAACCCAUUCGUAGUCUGAAUUGAGGGCUGUAACUCGCCCUCAUGAAACUGGAUUCCGUAGCAAUCGCGGAUCAACAUCCCGCGGUGAAUAUGCCCCUGCUCUUUGCACACACCGCCCGUCAAGCCACCCGAGUUGGGCUUGAGUGAGGGUGCCUUAAUUUGGGGCACUCGAACUUAGGUUCAGCAAGGAGGGUUAAGUCGUAACAAGGUA